ensembl:snRNA U6 U6 spliceosomal RNA
GUGCUUACUUUGGCAGCACAUAUACUAAAAUUGGAAUGAUACAAAGAAGAUUAGCAUGGCCUCUGAACAAGGAUGACAUUCAAAUUUGUGAAGCGUUCCAUAUUUGC